rnacentral:rRNA from 1 species
UACAGAGGUGGCAAGCGUUGUUCGGAAUUACUGGGCGUAAAGGGCGCGUAGGCGGCCAUCUAAGUCAGACGUGAAAUCCCCAGGCUCAACCUGGGAACUGCGUCUGAUACUGGACGGCUUGAGUUUGGGAGAGGGAUGUAGAAUUCCAGGUGUAGCGGUGAAAUGCGUAGAUAUCUGGAGGAACAUCAGUGGCGAAGGCGGCCCCCUGGAUCAAUACUGACGCUGAGGUGCGAAAGCGUGGGGAGCAAACAGGAUUAGAAACCCCGGUAGU